rnacentral:rRNA from 1 species
GACGAACGCUGGCGGCGUGCCUAAUACAUGCAAGUCGAGCGAGCUUGCCUAGAUGAAUUUGGUGCUUGCACCAAAUGAAACUAGAUACAAGCGAGCGGCGGACGGGUGAGUAACACGUGGGUAACCUGCCCAAGAGACUGGGAUAACACCUGGAAACAGAUGCUAAUACCGGAUAACAACACUAGACGCAUGUCUAGAGUUUAAAAGAUGGUUCUGCUAUCACUCUUGGAUGGACCUGCGGUGCAUUAGCUAGUUGGUAAGGUAACGGCUUACCAAGGCAAUGAUGCAUAGCCGAGUUGAGAGACUGAUCGGCCACAUUGGGACUGAGACACGGCCCAAACUCCUACGGGAGGCAGCAGUAGGGAAUCUUCCACAAUGGACGCAAGUCUGAUGGAGCAACGCCGCGUGAGUGAAGAAGGGUUUCGGCUCGUAAAGCUCUGUUGGUAGUGAAGAAAGAUAGAGGUAGUAACUGGCCUUAUAG